rnacentral:rRNA from 1 species
GAUGAACGCUGGCGGCGUGCCUAAUACAUGCAAGUCGAGCGAACAGACGAGGAGCUUGCUCCUCUGACGUUAGCGGCGGACGGGUGAGUAACGCGUGGAUAACCUACCUAUAAGACUGGGAUAACUUCGGGAAACCGGAGCUAAUACCGGAUAAUAUAUUGAACCGCAUGGUUCAAUAGUGAAAGACGGUUUUGCUGUCACUUAUAGAUGGAUCCGCGCCGCAUUAGCUAGUUGGUAAGGUAACGGCUUACCAAGGCAACGAUGCGUAGCCGACCUGAGAGGGUGAUCGGCCACACUGGAACUGAGACACGGUCCAGACUCCUACGGGAGGCAGCAGUAGGGAAUCUUCCGCAAUGGGCGAAAGCCUGACGGAGCAACGCCGCGUGAGUGAUGAAGGUCUUCGGAUCGUAAAACUCUGUUAUUAGGGAAGAACAAAUGUGUAAGUAACUAUGCACGUCUUGACGGUACCUAAUCAGAAAGCCACGACUAACUACGUG